rnacentral:antisense_RNA from 1 species
AGGUGCAGGAAGAACCAACCCAGUGACCCAGUGGUCUUCUCACAUCUCCCAUGCCCCCACCGCAGCUGGGUCACCUCCGGAAUAAGGAGGAGAGAGCUGGAGGUGGAGGAACUAAGGACCUUCUUUGCCAGGUGGGGACUUAAAGCAUACAGUGAAGUUGUUCUCUGAAGUCUCUCAUCUGCCUAAAGUCUGGACCCACCAAAGAAGAAAACAAUGACCCCUGGUCCCUUCCCGGAGUUUUCUCUGACUGAACUCAUGUCACAGGAAGAAAGACUGAAGCCUGCUGACACACCUGGACAGAUUUUGCAAACCGUUGUCUGCUCUGUGAGCCCAACAGACUUUGUCCCAGGCCACUGUAUGUUCUUCAAGCCUACUGAAUUCCCCUGAAAUUACCCACACUUCCCCUUUGCUCAUCUGUACCCCAUUUCAUGGUGGGGCAGUCACUCUGUUUUCCCCUUGCAUGCUAAUGAAUGUGUAUUCCAUUUCUA